GGAUAGCUCAUUUGGUAGAGAAUGAGACUCUUAAUCUCAGGGUUGUGGGUUCAAGCCCCACGUUAGGCA
rnacentral:tRNA from 1 species